rnacentral:rRNA from 1 species
UACGGGGGGAGCAAGCGUUGUUCGGAUUUACUGGGCGUAAAGGGCGCGUAGGCGGUCAGCACAAGUCAGUUGUGAAAUCUCCGGGCUUAACUCGGAAAGGUCAACUGAUACUGUGCGACUAGAGUGCGGAAGGGGCAACUGGAAUUCUCGGUGUAGCGGUGAAAUGCGUAGAUAUCGGGAGGAACACCGGUGGCGAAGGCGGUUCUCUGGGACGGUACUGACGCUGAGACGCGAAAGCGUGGGGAGCGAACAGG